UGGGGAAUAUUGGACAAUGGGCGAAAGCCUGAUCCAGCCAUGCCGCGUGUGUGAAGAAGGUCUUCGGAUUGUAAAGCACUUUAAGUUGGGAGGAAGGGCAUUAACCUAAUACGUUAGUGUUUUGACGUUACCGACAGAAUAAGCACCGGCUAACUCUGUGCCAGCAGCCGCGGUAAUAAAGAGGGUGCAAGCGUUAAUCGGAAUUACUGGGCGUAAAGCGCGCGUAGGUGGUUUGUUAAGUUGGAUGUGAAAUCCCCGGGCUCAACCUGGGAACUGCAUUCAAAACUGACUGACUAGAGUAUGGUAGAGGGUGGUGGAAUUUCCUGUGUAGCGGUGAAAUGCGUAGAUAUAGGAAGGAACACCAGUGGCGAAGGCGACCGCCUGGACUAAUACUGACACUGAGGUGCGAAAGCGUGGGGAGCAAACA
rnacentral:rRNA from 1 species